rnacentral:rRNA from 1 species
AUUGAACGCUGGCGGCAGGCCUAACACAUGCAAGUCGAGCGGCAGCGCGUCCGACCACCCUCGGGUGGUCGGAUGGCGGCGAGCGGCGGACGGGUGAGGAAUGCAUCGGAAUCUGCCUCGUUGUGGGGGAUAACGUAGGGAAACUUACGCUAAUACCGCAUACGACCUACGGGUGAAAGUGGGGGACCUUCGGGCCUCACGCGAUGAGAUGAGCCGAUGCCGGAUUAGCUAGUUGGCGGGGUAAAGGCCCACCAAGGCGACGAUCCGUAGCUGGUCUGAGAGGAUGAUCAGCCACACUGGAACUGAGACACGGUCCAGACUCCUACGGGAGGCAGCAGUGGGGAAUAUUGGACAAUGGGGGCAACCCUGAUCCAGCCAUGCCGCGUGUGUGAAGAAGGCCUUCGGGUUGUAAAGCACUUUUGUUGGGGAAGAAACCGGCCGGGUUAAUACCCUGGUUGAAUGACGGUACCCAAAGAAUAAGCACCGGCUAACUUCGUGCCAGCAGCCGCGGUAAUACGAAGGGUGCAAGCGUUACUCGGAAUUACUGGGCGUAAAGCGUG